CUGCAUGAUGGUGCAGCUGGUAGCACUGUUGCUUUGCAGCAAAGCAAGAAGGUCCUGGGUUAAAAUCCCAGCCUGAAGG